GACGAACGCUGGCGGCGUGCUUAACACAUGCAAGUCGAACGGAAAGGCCCUGCUUUUGUGGGGUGCUCGAGUGGCGAACGGGUGAGUAACACGUGAGUAACCUGCCCUUGACUUUGGGAUAACUUCAGGAAACUGGGGCUAAUACCGGAUAGGAGCUCCUGCUGCAUGGUGGGGGUUGGAAAGUUUCGGCGGUUGGGGAUGGACUCGCGGCUUAUCAGCUUGUUGGUGGGGUAGUGGCUUACCAAGGCUUUGACGGGUAGCCGGCCUGAGAGGGUGACCGGCCACAUUGGGACUGGGAUACGGCCCAGACUCCUACGGGAGGCAGCAGUGGGGAAUAUUGCACAAUGGGCGGAAGCCUGAUGCAGAAACGCCGCGUGCGGGAGGACGGCCUUCGGGUUGUAAACCGCUUUCGCCUGUGACGAAGCGUGGGUGACGGUAAUGGGAAAAGAAGCACCGGCUAACUACGU
rnacentral:rRNA from 1 species